rnacentral:lncRNA from 1 species
GUUGCUGCAGUGCGUAGGGCAGUCUGUGGAAGUAGGAAGUGAACGCCGAUUUCUUAACACGCGUUCACUUCCUAUUUCCGCAGAGCUGCCUUAUGCACUGCAGUGGUGAAGCAUUCCUGAAAUCAGAGCUUGGUGGAGUCUUCAAGAUUGGCCGCAGGCGCGGUUGCAGCCACAAGUUCAUGUGUGGACGUUUUGACAGGGUCGGGUCCGACUGCCGGAAUGGGCGAGCCAACCUGCAGCGCACCGACCCUUCCUCUUGUGCUGGGCCUGGCUCUGUUGCACCUUCCAGAUUCCGGCUGCCCUAU